AGAUAAAAAAUGUUGGCUGAAUUUCAGAAGGUGUUUUUCUGCUCAGUAAAGUAGAGAUGCAUAAAGUUAACUAAGAAGGAGAGAAGGCAGUGGGAGGAAUCUCAGAAAAUCAGUCCCUGAUUUUGUAUGAAAAAAACUGAUUUCCAACCAGGAAGAUCUCUCUUCAUUUGCACCAGGUUGAAAAGCUAUACACUUCUCUGGGUAUUGGGAUCCCAGGACCCUGCAUCCCACAGUCCUCCACUCCCCAUUCAUCCUCCCGCCCUCCCCCCACAAGAGGAGGGAGGUAAAGAAUCUGCUACUGAUCCUGCUGCCUCUGCUGGAUCUAGGACAGUUCCUGGAUUGUUCAAGCAUCAGCACCCAUUUGAACAGAUCUGUGUCACCCCCAUAUCUGUGAAAGAGAUGGGGAGGCAUUCUCCUGUGACCCCAUCAUUCAAGCUGUAGGAA